CCCUUAGAUGUUCUGGGCCGCACGCGCGCUACACUGACGAAUGCAACGAGCUUAUAACCUUGGCCGAAAGGUCUGGGUAAUCUCCAAAUUUCGUCGUGAUGGGGAUAGAUUAUUGCAAUUAUUAAUCUUCAACGAGGAAUGCCUAGUAAGCGCAAGUCAUCAGCUUGCGUUGAUUACGUCCCUGCCCUUUGUACACACCGCCCGUCGCUCCUAUCGAUUGAAUGGUCCGGUGAAGCGUUCGGACCGUGGCCUUUGGACGGUUCGCCGUCUGUUGGCUGCGGGAAGUUCGUUAAACCUUAUCAUUUAGAGGAAGGAGAAGUCGUAACA
rnacentral:rRNA from 1 species